rnacentral:misc_RNA from 1 species
UGUUUGGCAGGUAGUGUCCGUGUCUCUCGCUUUCACAUUCAAACCUCAAUCAUCAUGGCUUCUUCAGCUCAAAAGCAACACCAACACCUGCCAAACAUCUACAGCACCACCUCAGCUCCACCACCAACGCCCUCGUCUCACACCCACCACGUCACCUCAGCCGCCGACGCUGAUGCUCUCUCCCGCCUCCUCCACCGCCUCCCUCCUACCCUUUCCCUUCCUACUCGUCGCUCUGCUCCUUCCACCUCUCCCCCUGUCGUCUCCCUCUCUGACCCAAACUCUAGCGAUCUCCUCCUCUCUGCCUCUUCUCAACUCGGCUUCUUUCAAGUCACCGAUCAUGAUAUACCUUCUCAGCUAGCUAAAUCCUCCGAGUCGGAAUCGCUCUCUCUCUUUCAGCUCACUAGAGAUCAAAAAGAAUCGUACUUCCCCAAGAACUGGCCUUUGGGUUUUGAAGAUGAUGAAGAUGGAAAGAGUGAGUCGUUUUGGCUGGACGCAAACUGUUCCCCUGGAUCAACCGAGUUGAAGUUAUCUUCUCUGCACGAGUUAACUCGGGCUUUAGAGAAAGUUGGGCUGGAGAUUAUUGAAAUGCUUUCUCGCGAGGUGGGAUUUGAGAACCCGUUAAAGGAAGAUCCGACCCGAAUUUGUUCAUUAAUGUUGGUUCACGAGGGCUCAUACGAGGAUAAACCAGCUAUAUCGGGUGGGUUUUAUCCAUAUAUAGUUGGGUUACAAUAUCAAAUCCGGAGCCACAAGUAUUCGUUGUUGGGGGAUUCGGGUUGGGUCGCUGUGCAGCCUCAAGCGGACUCGGUUAUGGUCACCGUAGGCGACAUUGCUCAGGUGUGGAGCAAUGGGAGAUUGAAGAAAGUAAGAGGAAGACCACUGGCUUGCAUGGGAGAAGGCAAAAAUUCAAGCUCCAUAUCAAUGACAUUACUUGUGACUCUUCCUACAGAAAGCACAGUGUCACCCCUUCUUCCUAAGCCAAUUAUACAUGAAGAAAAUGCCAAUAAUGAAAGUGAAGUUGCAGAAGAAGUUGAAGAACAAAGCCAUGGCAUUGGCAGUAACAGCAAGGAGGAAGGGAGAUUGUUUAGCUCAUUUUCUUUUGAAGACUAUGCUUGGAGAAUCUAUCAUGAGCCUCUCCUCUUGAAAGACCCACUUGAUAAAUACCGUAUAAUUAAUUAGCUAGAUUAUUUUCAUUCUCUCUCUCACACACAUUCUUUUCUUAGUUAAUUUUUUUUCUUCUUUUUAUGACUUUGGAAUUGCUAUAUUCCUUUUUUAUUUGUUUGCUUUUUGUAAUUUUUUCAUUUGGGUGAUAUUUAAUUUAUUUUCUGAUUUUAUGUUAAAUGAGAUUAGAUGUUCAAUCAUUUUUAUUUUUUAUUUUGAAAACUUGAAAUUAAAUAUGAAAAUACUUUCUCUUUCUUAUUCCCAG